rnacentral:lncRNA from 1 species
AGCUAUCUUGACUUGUUUACUAAAACAAUUCUUAAGACUUAUAUAUAAUUCCAUGGUUAUCUUUACUGGCUUCAUGCAAGGAUUAUGGAAUAAUCAAAACAGCUGCUUAUUGAAUGAGGUUGGUUAAAUUAAAUUACGAAAAUAUGACACAUCAUUAUAAAAGUCUAAGAGCUCAUUUGUUUCAAAUUUGGAAAACCAUAUACAUCAUCUAUAUUCAACAUCCUAUAUAUUGUUUAAAACUUUAAACUCGUUCUUUUUUUUCAAUUUUUUAUUUUUUAUAAUUCGGAUGAUUUGGUUCAACAGAUUUUAUGAUCUCUGAACCAGAGCACGAAGAUUUCUUUUUCUAGCUGGUUCUUGGGUCAAUGGACCAUGAGAACUGACUAAUCCCAGGACGAGGGGAAGCCAUGUGAAAACCUCUAACACUCACACAUUUGUGGAGUAGUUUUUAGGGUAGAUCAAACUUUGGAUAGCUCAUUACAACUUUUUUUAGUCUGAUCACUACCACUAGACCAAGCUUGUGUGGGCAAAAAGACUUCGUUCUCAAGGGCGGACCUAGUAAAGAAGAAGGGGGUCACUUGACCCAAGUUGAAUAGUCAAAUUUUAUUUUUUGCAUAGAAUUUUGUUUAGAAUUAGCAGAACAAUUGGUAAAUUCCAAGGUGUUGACACCCCCAAAACAUGAGUUCAAAUCUCUAUAAUGACACUUUUACUCUUUUCUCCUCAAUUUAGUUUUAAAUAAAUGUUUUUUUUGUCUUAUAUAUUUCUUUACUUUUUCCAAAAUAACAGCAAUUAAUAUACUAUUUUUAUUUCCUUAUGAAAUUGAUUUUAUUUUUGUGAGUUUGUAUAAAUAUUAUAAGAAAGUUAGUUAUAAAAUACUGUUUAUAAAUUUUUUUUGACCCCGGUAAAAUUUAUUUAUGGGUCCGCUACUGCUCGUUCUUGCCUAUAAAUGUAAAUUUUGUUUCUAUUUGAGUAUGCAGAAAAAUACAAGUACUAUAUAUAUAAAACACUCGUUUUUUAAGUCAUGUAAAUUAUCAUUAAUGAAUGAAGGAAUUUGUAAGUUACCAAAAAAUUGCUUAACCAGCGAAGGGGAUAAACCUUGCCAAAAAAGAAUAAAGAACAAGGAUAUAUUUUGCAUGUCAGAGAUUAGGUAUUACCGUAUUAGCAAGCCAAAGCUGCAUUAGGGAAAUCCCAAUAAGGUUUUUACGUUCAUGAUUUCUUGCACGACUAUGAUCUCGUCAAUAUGGAAUUAUACAACGUCUGCUAUUUGAAUAUGGCUGCCUUAGGCUCUCUCAAAUCUUAUCUAUACUGCAUAUUCGAUUGGACGAAAUGGAACUAUGAUUAUUUGCCAAUUUUGUCCAUACAUCAAUAUUUUCAAAGUAUUCCCUGGAAUUGUUUCUUAUUGGUGUUAAGAUUUUGUCAUUGUUGAAGUACUUUUGAUGUUAUUUUUAUACGUAAUUAAUUUAAAUGAAGUGAAAAACAAGAAAUGAAACUUUUUUGUUUUUAUUCAAUUGUUUCUUUUGUUAGUUUUUCUAUUUCUAAAAUCUUAUUUUUCAUACUUUG